rnacentral:ncRNA from 1 species
CUUAUUGAGAGCGGCGGAGGGAAUAGGCCCGAUGAAGCCCGGCAACCGGUUAAAUCCGGUGCCAAAUCCUACGGCCUUCAGCCGGCAGAUGAG